rnacentral:rRNA from 1 species
AAUCUGUGAGGUAAUCAGCCCGCUUAACUGGUUGAAUUCUGCAGAGACUGGCAUACUAUGCACCGGGAGAAGUGUGGGGUACUCUAGGGGUAGGGAUAAAAUCCUGUCAUCCUUAGAGGACCACCAGUUGCGAAGGCGCCCCACUGGAACGGAUCCCACCGUCAAGGACCAAACCUAGGGGCACCAACCGGAUUAAAUACCCGGGUAGUCCUAGGUGUAAACGCUGUGAACUUGGUGUCGGGGGUCCGCAAGGGGUCCCCGGUGCCCGAGUGAAAAUGUUGAGUUCACUGCCUGGGGAGUACCGUCUCAAGGGUGAAACUUAAAGGAAUUGGCGGGGGAACACUGCAACGGGAGGAGCGCGCGGUUUAAUUGGAUUCCACGCCCGAAAACUCACCAAGGCCGACUGUUAGAUGAAAAUCACCGUAAUGAGAUUAUCGGAUUUUCGCAGAGGUGGUGCAUGGGCGCCCCCACUUCUCACUGCAAAGCGUUCUGUUCACUCAGAUAACGAACGAGACCCUCAUCUCUAUUUGCUACCCGUCUCUCCAGAGACAGUGCACUAUAAGGAGACCGCUGGUGUUAAACCACAGGAAGGCGAGGGCAACGACUGGUCAUCAUGCCCCGAAUGUCCUGCGCUACACGCGCGCUACAAAGGACGGGACAAUGGGAAGCUAGACCGAGAGGUCGCGCUAACCCGACACCCGUUCGUACUUCGUAGUGAGGGCUGUCACUCGUCCUCAUGAAGCUGGAUUCCGUAGUAAUCGUGUUUCAACAUAGCACGGAGAAUAUGUCCCUGCUGCUUGCAC